ensembl:lncRNA novel transcript
AAAAUGCCAAAGCCAACCCUGAAUGUUACAUCUUACAUUGCAAGGGGUCAUACAAAAUGGAUAAAAGAGGGACCUGGUAGAUUGUGAGUUAUGGGCGUGUGACCCAGGAGACAAUUUGCUGCUUCCUUCUAACUCAGGUGAUCUAUUGCUUAACAAAAAUUCACCUACCAUCAUGAUAAAGAACAUUAUCAUCCUCAUAGAGAAUGGUGGCCAUUCUUUGAACAAUCUGCCUUUAACUUACUGGUCUUCAAUCGAGGCUGUCAAUCAUUGUUGGAACAAGACAGGGGACUCUCUUUUGGAAGAAACAAGCUGGCAAAUAUUUGAGGUUCAGAAUACAUCUUUUCUUAAAUACCCAAGGGAAACAACUUCACUGCCAUGAACACCAAAGAACUGUAGAUUGUGCCAAAGAUCUUCCUGAGGUCCCAGCCUCUGAAUGGCGGCAGCCCUUUGCGAACUACCAGCUUGCUCUCUUGCCACAAUGUCACACGGAGGUUUCCAGGAUCCUCACUAGAGCUUAUGACAGUGGAUCUGAUGACGCAAAAUAAGAGAUCUCU